rnacentral:SRP_RNA from 1 species
UCUGGGAGUUGUAGCGUGUUCCUCUAAUCCUGCUAGUUUGGGGAUUGGUUGGUUGGCCAGUUUGAGGAUAGGAGUCCUGGUAGUCGGUCUUCUAUGGUGAUCAGGUGUCCGCGCUAAGCUCAGCAUCAAUACGGUGGUGGAGAGGGAGCUCGUCAGGACCAGGUUGUCUAAAGAGAGUCGGUUUUGGCCCAGGGUGGAAACACAGCAAGAAAAAGUUGGCCAGUAGUUUGUGGAUUGGUAUUUGACUAUCGCGGAUGUUACAGUCCAAAAACUCCCUGUGAUAGGUGAAAAUUU